rnacentral:rRNA from 1 species
UACGGAGGAUGCAAGCGUUAUCCGGAUUUAUUGGGUUUAAAGGGUCCGCAGGCGGAAAGAUAAGUCAGUGGUGAAAGCCCGUAGCUCAACUACGGAACUGCCAUUGAUACUGUUUUUCUUGAGUAUGGUUGCCGUUGGCGGAAUAUAACAUGUAGCGGUGAAAUGCUUAGAUAUGUUAUAGAACACCGAUUGCGAAGGCAGCUAACGAAACCAUUACUGACGCUCAGGGACGAAAGCGUGGGGAGCAAACAGGAUUAGAUACCCUGGUAGUCCACGCCGUAAACGAUGAUCACUCGAUGUCGGCAAUAUACAGUCGGUGUCCAAGCGAAAGUGUUAAGUGAUCCACCUGGGGAGUACGUUCGCAAGAAUG